rnacentral:rRNA from 1 species
CCUGGAAACAGAUGCUAAUACCGGAUAACAACAGAUGAUGCCUAUCAACUGUUUAAAAGANGGUUCUGCUAUCACUCUUGGAUGGACCUGCGGUGCAUUAGCUAGUUGGUAGGGUAACGGCCUACCAAGGCGAUGAUGCAUAGCCGAGUUGAGAGACUGAUCGGCCACAUUGGGACUGAGACACGGCCCAAACUCCUACGGGAGGCAGCAGUG